UCUAGUUGUGAAUCCUUAUAA
rnacentral:piRNA from 1 species